AUGUUGUCUAUAGAGGAGAAGGGGUCUAUUGGGAAGGGAUUUGGUUUGCACCGGGCUGGGGUUUGCUGCGGCGUGGCUUGUCCGUCCGAGCGGUCUCCAUCGCUGCUGGCUGGUUGCUGGUCAGAGGAAGGAGCAUUCUCCAUCUGGCCCAACUUGGUGUGCGCGGCGACGCGGCGUGGCGGCUCUGUACAAUGGGGCAGACACUUUGGGGACGGCUUAGGAAGGUUAGUGGAAGCAGUUUGGGGGCAUUGGGGAUACGGCGCGCCAUUGUCGCUGUCAUUGGAGGAGGUACACCGUUGUGAGUGGUGCUGCAGUCAGAGAGGAGCGCAUCUCCAUUCGUCACUUCCAUUGGAGGAGCCCGGCCGCCACUUGCUAUCGCCACCUGCUGCUUGUGUGCAGUGCUAA
rnacentral:rRNA from 1 species